rnacentral:rRNA from 1 species
AUUGAACGCUGGCGGCAGGCUUAACACAUGCAAGUCGAACGAGUUGCGGACGGGUGAGUAAGGCAUGGGAAUCUUGCUUAUGGAGGGGGAUCACUACGGGGCACGGUCGCUACUACCGCAUACUAUCGGAUGAACCCAUAUGGGAUGAGCUAGUGGGUGGGGUAAAGGCUCACCAAGGCGACGAUCUCUAGCUGGUCUGAGAGGAUGAUCAGCCACACUGGGACUUAGACACGGCCCAGACUCCUACGGGAGGCAGCAGUGGGGAAGAUUGCACAAUGGGCGAAAGCCUGAUGCAGCCAUGCCGCGUGUAUGAAGAAGGCCUUAGGUUUGUAAAGUACGUUAAGCGGGGAGGCGUUACCCACAGAAGAAGCACCGGCUAACUCCGUGCCAGCAGCCGCGGUAAUUC